CGACAAACUAGAUGGAUAGUCUCCUUCCUGAUGACCUGCUGACCAUCAAAGUAACCAUGCAGAUACAUCAGAUUGUCUCUACAAGACCGGAGGAGAUUUCUUGGCGAGUUCUCAGCUGCUUUUGUGCAGAUCCCCAUCCUUGCCAGUGUUUUGGUCUCAAAAAAGUCAACAUACUGGGAGCACAGAACAUGGAGACUGCAUUGGGAUCACCAAGUUCAAGCACACUUACCAGCACAUCUCAACCCAUCAUAGACCUGCAUGAGGGACUGAUUGGAAGUUGGUGUGUGGUACGGUAUGAUGGGGGAUCCUUACCCUGGCAUUAUACAGGAUGUGGACCCUGAGGGUUGUGCUCUGGUGAGAACCAUGAGUCAUAUUGGCAAAAACAAGUUCUUCUGGCCUAUGAGAGACGAUGUUAUUUGGUACUGGCCAGAAGAUGUGAUCAGGCUGGUCCCAGAGCCUCAACCAGUAACAAAGAGGCAUGUGAUGGUGGAGCCAACAGUUUGGAAAGAAAUAUGCUCUGUUCUUGACCAUGAAACAUAACUGAACCUCUGGCCCAUAUGCAAGUUUGACAGAUACAGUAUUUAGCAAAUACAAUGUCUAUUUAGUCAGA